CCAGCAGCCGCGGUAAUACGUAGGUGGCAAGCGUUAUCCGGAAUUAUUGGGCGUAAGCGCGCGUAGGCGGUUUUUUAAGUCUGAUGUGAAAGCCCACGGCCCUUUUGUGGAGGGUCAUUGGAAACUGGAAAACUUGAGUGCAGCAUAGGAAAGUGGAAUUCCAUGUGUAGCGGUGAAAUGCGCGAGAGAUAUGGAGGAACACCAGUGGCGAAGGCGACUUUCUGGUCUGUAACUGACGCUGAUGUGCGAAAGCGUGGGGAUCAAACAGGAUUAGAUACCCUGGUA
rnacentral:rRNA from 1 species